CAGAGUAGGUCUGCACGCGUUAAGUGUCGUGUAAACGGGGAGUUGUUACACGGACGAAAAGUUUUCUUGCGGUGAGCAGACCGCAUCCCGCUGU
rnacentral:ncRNA from 1 species